rnacentral:tRNA from 1 species
UCCCUGGUGGCUUAGAUGGUAAAGAAUCUGCCUGCAAUGCAGGAGACCCAGGUUCAAUCCCUGGGUUGGGAA